GACGAACGCUGGCGGCGUGGAUUAGGCAUGCAAGUCGAACGGUAUCAUCCUUCGGGGGUGAGAGAGUGGCGAACUGGUGAGUAACACGUAGGUUAUCUACCCUCAAGACGGGGACAACCCCAGGGAAACUUGGGCUAAUACCGGAUGUGAGCAACUUUUAGUUGUUUGAAAGGUGGCGUAAGCUGUCGCUUGGGGAUGAGCCUGCGUCCUAUUAGUUAGUUGGUGAGGUAACGGCUCACCUAGGCAAUGAUAGGUAGGCGGCCUUAACGGGUGGUCGCCCACACUGGGAUUGAGAUACGGCCCAGACUCCUACGGGAGGCAGCAGUCGAGAAUAGUCUACAAUGGUCGGAAGACUGAUAGUGCGACGCCGCGUGAACGAUGAAUCCCUUCGGGGUGUAAAGUUCUUUUAUAUGUGAGCAGUGCUUCUUAUAUUAACAGUAUGGGGAGAGAGAUAUUAGCAUAUGAAUAAGCAACGGCUAACUCCGUG
rnacentral:rRNA from 1 species